UGGGGAAUAUUGGACAAUGGGCGAAAGCCUGAUCCAGCCAUGCCGCGUGUGUGAAGAAGGUCUUCGGAUUGUAAAGCACUUUAAGUUGGGAGGAAGGGCAGUAAGCGAAUACCUUGCUGUUUUGACGUUACCGACAGAAUAAGCACCGGCUAACUCUGUGCCAGCAGCCGCGGUAAUACAGAGGGUGCAAGCGUUAAUCGGAAUUACUGGGCGUAAAGCGCGCGUAGGUGGUUCGUUAAGUUGAAUGUGAAAGCCCCGGGCUCAACCUGGGAACUGCAUCCAAAACUGGCGAGCUAGAGUAGGGCAGAGGGUGGUGGAAUUUCCGGUGUAGCGGUGAAAUGCGUAGAUAUAGGAAGGAACACCAGUGGCGAAGGCGACCACCUGGGCUCAUACUGACACUGAGGUGCGAAAGCGUGGGGCGCAAACAGG
rnacentral:rRNA from 1 species